GCAGCAGCACCCAACGCAGUGAGUACCUUGAUCUCCUGCGUGGCCUCGUCCCUGGUCUUAGUUCCACCGGGCAGCGGGAGUCAGGACCGCCUGUCCUCAGACCCCUCCGCAGCGACUGUGGCGGCCGCAGUCUAGCAGGAAAGGAGAGGGAGCUUUCCCCGAAGACCCUCCUGGACCAGCCCCAGGCUCCUGUGCUGGUGAGGCCGAGGGAGAGGGAUGUGGGCAUAGGACACGUAGCAGGAUUUCCAUUUUAGAGGCAGCCGGACCUGUCUUCAGGUCCCUUCCUUGGUGAGAGACAGGGGUACGCCAGAGGAAGCUGGGCGCUCGGCCUCUGUGCAGCCUCAUCUCCUGGAAUCUGAGUAUUGAAAACUGGGCUUUUACUUCGCACACCUCAGCACAGACUCCCAUGGGAAUCCAGGUCACAGCAAAGCAGCCCUGGGCCUCCAUUCUCCUUUAAGCAAGCAUGACAAUCCUCACUUCACUGAGUUUUUAUUAAAACUAGCAAUGACCUUAGAAAGCAAGGCAUGACCUCAGCUCCACUUUUGAGGCUGCAGUCCAUUCAGAGAGGUUUCGCAGACUCGGUAACGGCCAGAACAGACAGCCUGGGCCCUGCCGCAGGCUGACUCAGAAUCUUUGGGAGUAGUGACCAACUUCUGCUUUUGGAAAAACCUCUACAGGCGGUUCUGAGAAGUCCAAGGGUUGCUGGGAGAGGUUGCAGGUUGCACGCCAGGGCCUGUACUGACCACCUCCACGUGCCACUGGGGCUGUAAGGAGGAAUGGCGGCCGUGGG
rnacentral:lncRNA from 1 species